AGAGUUUGAUCCUGGCUCAGAUUGAACGCUGGCGGCAUGCCUUACACAUGCAAGUCGAACGGUAACGCGGGGCAACCUGGCGACGAGUGGCGAACGGGUGAGUAACGCAUCGGAACGUGCCCAGUAGUGGGGGAUAGCCCGGCGAAAGCCGGAUUAAUACCGCAUACGACCUACGGGUGAAAGGGGGGGAUCGCAAGACCUCUCGCUAUUGGAGCGGCCGAUGUCAGAUUAGGUUGUUGGUGGGGUAAAGGCCUACCAAGCCGACGAUCUGUAGCUGGUCUGAGAGGACGACCAGCCACACUGGGACUGAGACACGGCCCAGACUCCUACGGGAGGCAGCAGUGGGGAAUUUUGGACAAUGGGCGCAAGCCUGAUCCAGCCAUGCCGCGUGCGGGAAGAAGGCCUUCGGGUUGUAAACCGCUUUUGUCAGGGAAGAAACGCUCUGAGUUAAUACCUCGGGGUAAUGACGGUACCUGAAGAAUAAGCACCGGCUAACUACGUGCCAGCAGCCGCGGUAAUACGUAGGGUGCAAGCGUUAAUCGGAAUUACUGGGCGUAAAGCGUGCGCAGGCGGUUAUGCAAGACAGAUGUGAAAUCCCCGGGCUCAACCUGGGAACUGCAUUUGUGACUGCAUAGCUAGAGUACGGUAGAGGGGGAUGGAAUUCCGCGUGUAGCAGUGAAAUGCGUAGAUAUGCGGAGGAACACCGAUGGCGAAGGCAAUCCCCUGGACCUGUACUGACGCUCAUGCACGAAAGCGUGGGGAGCAAACAGGAUUAGAUACCCUGGUAGUCCACGCCCUAAACGAUGUCAACUGGUUGUUGGACGGCUUGCUGUUCAGUAACGAAGCUAACGCGUGAAGUUGACCGCCUGGGGAGUACGGCCGCAAGGUUGAAACUCAAAGGGAUUGACGGGGACCCGCACAAGCGGUGGAUGAUGUGGUUUAAUUCGAUGCAACGCGAAAAACCUUACCUACCCUUGACAUGUCUGGAAUCCUAAAGAGAUUUAGGAGUGCUCGAAAGAGAACCAGAACACAGGUGCUGCAUGGCCGUCGUCAGCUCGUGUCGUGAGAUGUUGGGUUAAGUCCCGCAACGAGCGCAACCCUUGUCAUUAGUUGCUACGAAAGGGCACUCUAAUGAGACUGCCGGUGACAAACCGGAGGAAGGUGGGGAUGACGUCAGGUCCUCAUGGCCCUUAUGGGUAGGGCUACACACGUCAUACAAUGGCCGGUACAGAGGGCUGCCAACCCGCGAGGGGGAGCUAAUCCCAGAAAACCGGUCGUAGUCCGGAUCGCAGUCUGCAACUCGACUGCGUGAAGUCGGAAUCGCUAGUAAUCGCGGAUCAGCUUGCCGCGGUGAAUACGUUCCCGGGUCUUGU
rnacentral:rRNA from 1 species